UUUACUCUGUAGUCUAAACACGUCUGUUAUCUUUUCCCUUUAUUAGAUAAUGGAUGACAAAAGGUCACACGACCCACCCUAACAAGGUUGCUACUAAGAGCGACAUCUUAAUGGCACCUUAAAACUCUGCUUACGGAAAUGACACACGUAAUUGAAUCUUAAUUUAGAAUUUCUCCAGAUGGAACAGCUGAGGAUGAAGAUGCAUUCUAUGUCCCUGGAGUGAUAAAGUGGUUGACUGGACAGGAACACCAGCAUGCAUCUUCUAAAUGCAGACAGACAAACUUGUAGGAUAAGUGUCUACUUUGACCAUGAAUGUAACAAUAAAGUAACAGUCCAUUGUG